rnacentral:lncRNA from 1 species
CUUUGAAUAGUGUGAAGUAUUGUAAUAUGCUGAACUAGAUAACACACUUCAUUGUGACAAUGUACAGGAAUUGAAAUUACUCUCACCAACUACAGCUAUUCU